CCUGGGAUUUUCCGGUGUUUUCAUUUGGUGAUCAGGACUGAACACAGAGGACUCGCCAUGGAGCCAUGGCUGAGCUGGGUUUUUCUUGUUGUUGUUUUAAAAGGUGUCCAGUGUGAGGUGCAGCUGGUGGAGUCUGGGGGAGGCUUGGUCCAGCCUGGGGGUUCCCUGAGACUCUCCUGUGUAGCCUCUGGAUUCACCUUUAGCAACUAUGCCAUGGGCUGGGUCCGCCAGGCUCCAGGGAAGGGGCUGGAGUGGGUCUCAAGUAUUAGUGGUAGUGGUAGCACAUACUACCCAGACUCUGUCAAGGGCCGAUUCACCAUCUCCAGAGACAACGCCAAGAACACGCUGUAUCUGCAAAUGAACAGCCUGAGAGCCGAGGACACGGCUGUGUAUUACUGUGCGAAAGACACAGUGAGGGGAAGUCAGUGUGAGCCCAGACACAAACCUCCCUGCAGGAACCCUGGGGGGAAAUCAGCUGCAGGGGGCGUUCAGGACCCACUGAUCAGAGUCAGCCCCGGAGGCAGGUGCAGAUGGAGGCUGAUUUCCUGUCAGGAUUGUUUGUUCUGUUCUCCCUUUUCAUUUGCUUUUCCUGCUUCCUGGAUAAGAAACAGAUGGUCCCCGUGGUCUACACUCCAGGGCUGAAGGCAUUUUCUUGGAGCUCAGGUGGGGCUCAGGCUGUGGCUCCUGCAGCCGAUGCUGGAGAAGGUGGGAGUCUGAUGGAGCUUCCUAACAACGCUGUGGUCCAAGCCAAGUCCGUCAAGGCCAUUGGUUCUUCCCGGAGCAUAGCUGCCCAUCAGGAAUCCGCUAUGUGCACCGUCAUUGUUUGGGAGGAGCUCCAGGAUGUGUCUCUUUGUCAAAACCUGGGUGAUGGUGUCACAGAGCUGUGCCAGGUGCCUGGUCCCGGUGCUACCUGA